rnacentral:lncRNA from 1 species
CCUCUCCCAUACUCUUCUCAGAUGCACCCACCCCCAAAUCAAUAGGAUGAACAUAAAUCGUCAUCAUCAAGCCCUCAGCAUCUUUGGUGAAGCACUCAGCAAAGGUGACUUUGGACCCUUCAUUGUCUCAAUGGAUGCAUGCAACUCAGAAAGGCUAACCUCCCUGGAUAUGGAAAUCCCAAAUGAUGUCCAAAGAAACAUUCC